rnacentral:rRNA from 1 species
UACGUAGGGGGCAAGCGUUGUCCGGAUUUAUUGGGCGUAAAGAGCGUGUAGGCGGCUUUACAGGUCCGUUGUGAAAACUCGAGGCUCAACCUCGAGACGCCGGUGGAAACCGUAAGGCUAGAGUCCGGAAGAGGAGAGUGGAAUUCCUGGUGUAGCGGUGAAAUGCGCAGAUAUCAGGAGGAACACCCGUGGCGAAAGCGGCUCUCUGGGACGGUACUGACGCUGAGACGCGAAAGCGUGGGGAGCGAACAGGAUAGAUACCUUGU